rnacentral:rRNA from 1 species
GCGAACGGGUGAGUAACACGGUGGGUGAUCUGCCUGCACUUCGGGAUAAGCUUGGGAAACUGGGUCUAAUACCGGAUAGGAGCCAUCUUUAGUGUGGUGGUUGGAAAGUUUUUUCGGUGUAGGAUGAGCUCGCGGCCUAUCAGCUUGUUGGUGGGGUAAUGGCCUACCAAGGCGGCGACGGGUAGCCGGCCUGAGAGGGUGUACGGCCACAUUGGGACUGAGAUACGGCCAAG